rnacentral:rRNA from 1 species
UACGGAGGAUCCAAGCGUUAUCCGGAUUCAUUGGGUUUAAAGGGUGCGUAGGCGGAAUGAUAAGUCAGUGGUGAAAGCCUGCAGCUUAACUGCAGAACUGCCAUUGAUACUGUCAAUCUUGAGUACAUUUGAUGUGGGCGGAAUGUGUCAUGUAGCGGUGAAAUGCUUAGAUAUGACACAGAACACCGAUUGCGAAAGGCAGCUCACAAAACUGUAAACUGACGCUGAGGCACGAAAAGCGUGAGUAUCAAACAGG